CAGGAAACUGCAAUCGUUGAUAUGGUCAUCAGAAACAAUGGCAUAAAACUCACAGAGAUUCGGGACAGAGUGUUGGCAGACAACAUUACAUUUGGAAAUAUUCACAACGUAAGCAUAACAACUAUUUCUAGAGUCCUGAAACAACAUCAAGUCAGGAUGAAGCAGUUGUACACUGUCCCCUUUGAGAGGAACUCUGAAUGAGUCAAGCAACUCAGGAACCAAUAUGUCCAGAGAGUCAUGGAGAUUGAAGCCAGGCAAACACCCCACAUAUUCAUCUUUGUGGAUGAGGCUGGUUUCAACAUGGCCAAAACACGGCAGCGAGGAAGGAAUGUAUUGGGAAAAGAGCCACAGUGGAUGUCCCGGGCCAGAGGGGUGCCAACAUCACAAUGUGUGCAGCAAAAUCCUCUGAUCGAUUGCUGUUACACAAAUUGAGCCAUACAACACUGUUGUCAUUCAUUCCUGGAUGACCUCCAUGGAAGGGUUGGAAAGGGUUGCAGUGAAUCGGCCAAUGUUUGGAAUUGUGUGGGACAAUGUAACAUUUCACCACUCCCAUGCAGUCGCAGAGUGGUUUGCACCCAUCCCAGGAUGGUGUCACUUUUCCUCCCACGUUACUCUCCAUUCUUCAACCCCAUAGAGGAAUUAUUUUCCUCAUGGAGGUGGAAGGUUUAUGACCUAUAUCUGCAGAAGAUUGCACUUAAUGGACCAGGCUUGCCAAAAUAUUCUUUCCUAGGUGUAUUGCCCAAGAUGUGGAUGUGGAUGAGAACCUGUGGCCAAAUGCAGAAGACAAGGUUGACCAGCAUUGCUACUGUAUCUGUAUUGGUAGAUUGUGUAUAUACAAAUGUUUGUAUUUUGGAAUCACUGAAUGCAAAAAAAUGACAAACAUAUUGAAGCAUAUUGCAUGAUGUCUGAUUAAUUCCUGUAACAUAUACUGCAGUGAAUUCUAUACAGUAGAGAGGCGUCAUUCUUGUCAUUUUGCCAAAGAAAACAUUGUGAAAUCUUCCUGUUGUUAGUGUUUUUUAGGUAGUUGUUUUAUGAGUGACAAAGAGUACUUGUUGGGUGACAACCUUUGCUAGUGUUAUGGAAGAAUGAGACAAUUUGAGACAUGUAUGCAUUUUGGAUGUGAAAUGAACUGCUGUGCCAAGCUGAAAGUUGGUUAAGAGAACUGUGUGAAGUGUUUCGAAAAAGUGACCGAAGUAUUGGGAAAUGGGUCCUAGCGAUUGUAAAAAACUGUAAACAGCAUGGUCAUUAAACAGGUGCACCUUGUGCUGGGUACAAUAAAAGGCCACUCUAAAAUGUGCAGUUUUGUCACACAACACAAUGCCACAGAUGUCUCAAGUUUUGAGGGAGCAUGCAAUUGGCAUACUGACUGAAGGAAUGUCCACCAGAGCUGUUGCUAGAUAAUUUAAUGUUAAUUUCUCUACCAUAAGCCACCUCCAAUGUUGUUUUUGGAGAAUUUGGCAGUACGUCCAACCGGCCUUACAACCGUAGAUCACGUGUAACCACGCCAGCCCAG
ensembl:lncRNA